GGUAUUUGCGGCGUGAUUCUUGAAGACUGGGACUCAGUCAUUUGGAAACGAUUGGCUGGGGUCUCAUGCCUUGCUAGGGUUUUAAACCCUCGCCUCGUUUUCGGAGGGUUCUCCGCACGGCGGAGCGAUGCCGUCUAUGGCAAUCUUUUCUCGGCACAGGCCGAGUGUGAGGGAGGGUUUCGUUUGGCUCGGUGCGUUUGUGCACUGGGCAAUUCGGUUUUGUGUGUGGGCAUUCUCAAAGAGGGUUGAUGUCAAUUUUGGGAUAUUGGUCUUCGGUAGAACGGUUGAACGAUCUGAGGCAGAGGCGACUGGGAUCUAAGGCAAGUUUGAGGAUUUUGAAGGAGGAAAUUGUGAGUUUGUGUUCUCUUUGUGCGAUGAACGAUGAAGGUGGUGGCAAAUGCGCGUCGAUGUUAGUGGCAAAUGUGCGUCGAUUUUCCCUCCUAAUCACCUGUCCGCCACUUUCAUUCCUUCCACUCUCUCUUCUAGAAUGUCCUAAGCAAGAGACAGGGGGUGUACAUGUAUUUGAUUCGGUCACAACCGAAGGCAGCACUAAGAAGGUGAAGGGGACAGUGCGCGUCUAUUUGAAGUGCCAUCUGUGACCCAGUUCAUGUUGUUCUUGGUUGGCGGUGAGGGUCAUCAAGGGAGGCGGAGGACAAAUGAGAAUGAGAUCGACAUCCACUCUGACCCCUUCAGGAUUUCUCCAUUAAAUUAACCUUUGGAAGAAGAAUUUGCGAUGGGGGAAAGGAUUUGGGAGGAGUGAAGAAUGCGCUCCUUGUGACAUUGUUGGUGAUAUUAGCUAUGAAGAAUUGCAGGCAGCGGCAUAUGAGGAUGCUAAGCAUGGGAUGACCUUCCAAUCAAUUGUUUUCCCUGUUAAAACAGAGCUAUUGAGGCCCCAAGAGAAAAUGGAAAGUCCCAUAACUGAUUUGGUUAAAAAGCCACUGGGUAAUUCAAGAAGGAAUAUUGAUGUCAAGCAUCUCUUGAAGGAUUGCAAGUUGCUUGUUAUGGAUCACACCUUCAACUUCAAGUGCUUGAAGUGCUUCAAAUUAGGUUGUAUCAUCUCCUUCAAUUUUUCUUUCCCAAAAUAUUGCUAGUUGAUUUUUGUGAUUGGGAAUUGUCUGGGGGGGUGUAAUCCAGUAGAAAAAAAAAUCAUCCAUUGCAUUUAGGUUUUGUCAUUUUGAAGCUUUCUUUCCCUUAGGUGUUGCUUUCAUUUAGGUUGAUAAGUCUAUUUGCAUUGAGGGUAAUGUAGCAUUUAAGUGUGGGGGGAAGUGUGUUUUAGGUCAUUUGGCCAAAAUUUUUAAAAAAAUUUAAAAAACAGUUGUUUUGAUAUAAAAAUUCUUAGUUUGAUGAGAUGCCAAUGAGAUUUGAAGUGUUAGACUUGGCUGUUUCAAGUGUAGCUAGGAUAGGAUAGAAUGUUCUUACUUGGUUUGCUUGAG